AUUGAACGCUGGCGGCAGGCUUAACACAUGCGAGUCGAGCGGGGUGAUGGUGCUUGCACUAUCACUUAGCGGCGGACGGGUGAGUAAUGCUUAGGAAUCUGCCUAUUAGUGGGGGACAACAUCUCGAAAGGGAUGCUAAUACCGCAUACGUCCUACGGGAGAAAGCAGGGGAUCACUUGUGACCUUGCGCUAAUAGAUGAGCCUAAGUCGGAUUAGCUGGUUGGUGGGGUAAAGGCCUACCAAGGCGACGAUCUGUAGCGGGUCUGAGAGGAUGAUCCGCCACACUGGGACUGAGACAAGGCCCAGACUCCUACGGGAGGCAGCAGUGGGGAAUAUUGGACAAUGGGGGGAACCCUGAUCCAGCCAUGCCGCGUGUGUGAAGAAGGCCUUAUGGUUGUAAAGCACUUUAAGCGAGGAGGAGGCUCUUUUGGUUAAUACCCAAGAUGAGUGGACGUUACUCGCAGAAUAAGCACCGGCUAACUCUGUGCCAGCCGCCGCCGUAA
rnacentral:rRNA from 1 species